GACGAACGUUGGCGGCGUGCUUAAUACAUGCAAGUCCACUGAAGCAGUGGUAGCAAUAUCGCUGUGGAGGUGGCGCACGGGUGAGUAACACGUAGGUAAUCUGCCUUCAGGUCUGGCAUAACUCCGGGAAACCGGGGCUAAUAGCAGAUGAUGCAGCGGCUCGACAUCGAGACAGUUGUUAAAGCUAUGGCGCCUGAAGAUGAGCCUGCGUCUGAUUAGCUAGUUGGCGGGGUAACGGCCCACCAAGGCAACGAUCAGUAGCUGGUCUGAGAGGAUGAUCAGCCACACUGGAACGGAGACACGGUCCAGACUCCUACGGGAGGCAGCAGUAAGGAAUAUUGCUCAAUGGGAGAAAUCCUAAAGCAGCAACGCCGCGUGAGGGACGAAGGGCUUUUGCUUGUAAACCUCUGUAGUGAGAGAAAAAAAUCCCAAUCUUUGGGACAUGAUGGUAUCUCAAAAGUAAGCCCCGGCUAACUACGUG
rnacentral:rRNA from 1 species